AUUGGACGCUGGCGGCAUGCUUUACACAUGCAAGUCGAACGGUAACAGCACUUCGGUGGCUGACGAGUGGCGCACGGGUGAGUAAUACAUCGGAACGUGCCUAGUAGUGGGGGAUAACUACUCGAAAGAGUAGCUAAUACCGCAUGAGAUCUAAGGAUGAAAGCAGGGGACCUUCGGGCCUUGCGCUACUAGAGCGGCUGAUGGCAGAUUAGGUAGUUGGUGGGAUAAAAGCUUACCAAGCCGACGAUCUGUAGCUGGUCUGAGAGGACGACCAGCCACACUGGGACUGAGACACGGCCCAGACUCCUACGGGAGGCAGCAGUGGGGAAUUUUGGACAAUGGGCGCAAGCCUGAUCCAGCAAUGCCGCGUGCAGGAUGAAGGCCUUCGGGUUGUAAACUGCUUUUGUACGGAACGAAAAGCCCUCUUCUAAUACAGGAGGGUCAUGACGGUACCGUAAGAAUAAGCACCGGCUAACUACGUG
rnacentral:rRNA from 1 species